UAUUAAAAAUUCCAUCCAUUCUACUAUUAAAAAUUGGUGCAGCUGAACCAAACAACACGAUGUGUCACGUGCACCUCAUACUAACUUAUAAUGACCAAUUUUUAAAAGUAGAAAUGGGUGAAAUUUCUAAGA
rnacentral:pre_miRNA from 1 species